CUAGACGGUGUGUCAAAGU
rnacentral:siRNA from 1 species